rnacentral:tRNA from 2 species
AAGGCUUUAGUUUAGAAAAACAUUGGACUGUCAGACCAAGGACAUGAGUUAAAAUCUCAUAAGCCUUG